rnacentral:rRNA from 1 species
AACGAACGCUGGCGGCAGGCCUAACACAUGCAAGUCGAGCGCACCUUCGGGUGAGCGGCGGACGGGUUAGUAACGCGUGGGAACAUACCCUUUUCUACGGAAUAGCCUCGGGAAACUGAGAGUAAUACCGUAUAAGCCCUUCGGGGGAAAGAUUUAUCGGGAAAGGAUUGGCCCGCGUUAGAUUAGAUAGUUGGUGGGGUAAUGGCCUACCAAGUCUACGAUCUAUAGCUGGUUUUAGAGGAUGAUCAGCAACACUGGGACUGAGACACGGCCCAGACUCCUACGGGAGGCAGCAGUGGGGAAUCUUAGACAAUGGGCGCAAGCCUGAUCUAGCCAUGCCGCGUGUGUGAUGAAGGUCUUAGGAUCGUAAAGCACUUUCGCCAGGGAUGAUAAUGACAGUACCUGGUAAAGAAACCCCGGCUAACUCCGUGCCAGCAGCCGCGGUAAUACGGAGGGGGUUAGCGUUGUUCGGAAUUACUGGGCGUAAAGCGUACGUAGGCGGAUUGGAAAGUUGGGGGUGAAAUCCCAGGGCUCAACCCUGGAACUGCCUCCAAAACUAUCAGUCUAGAGUUCGAGAGAGGUGAGUGGAAUUCCAAGUGUAGAGGUGAAAUUCGUAGAUAUUUGGAGGAACACCAGUGGCGAAGGCGGCUCACUGGCUCGAUACUGACGCUGAGGUACGAAAGUGUGGGGAGCAAACAGGAUUAGAUACCCUGGUAGUCCACACCGUAAACGAUGAAUGCCAGUCGUCGGGCAGUAUACUGUUCGGUGACACACCUAACGGAUUAAGCAUUCCGCCUGGGGAGUACGGUCGCAAGAUUAAAACUCAAAGGAAUUGACGGGGGCCCGCACAAGCGGGUGGAGCAUGUGGUUUAAUUCGAAGCAACGCGCAGAAACCUACCAACCCCUGACAUCCUGUGCUAACCCGAAAGAUCGGGCGUUCCCUUCGGGGAAGCAGUGACAGGGGCUGGAUGGCUG